UAUAAACCUACCAAUACAGACGAUCAGGAGCAACACCAAGAUAGUGGAAUGUCUCCAUUUGCCAGUUCUCCAACUACAAACCCUACAUUCCCCAGUUCUCCAAGCGCUGAACAAAGUACAGAUAAUGUGACUCAAGUUUCUGACACUGAGAUUCCUACGGAGAGUGGUGAUGGGAUCCAUACGACUAACAAUCCUACCACUGAACAAUAUACAUGUGACUCUCAGAUUCCU